UGCGAGGUAGCUCAACAGGCAGAGCGCCCGGCCGUUACCCGGGAGGUUGAGGGUUCGAAGCCCUCUCUCGCAGCCA
rnacentral:tRNA from 1 species